GGUGCUGUCGGGGGCGGUCGGGGUGGGUCCCCGGACGCCAGAUCCAGGAAGCCCGUGCGAAUCGGGUGCUGUCCCGCAACUGUGAGCGAACUCCCGCAGCCGAUCGCCGGGAGCCGCGAGCCAGGAACUGCCUGCCGUCCACCCCAUCGC
rnacentral:ncRNA from 2 species